CUUUGACUGACCACGACUGAGACCUGACGGACUUAUUACUUCUUGACGAUCAUCUUAUAUCCAUCAUCAUCCGAUACAUAGAUUCGACGCUAGUGCUCAUCUUUAUCAGAAUUAGUGCGUAUUUCAUGCAUAUUACAUUCCGACGUUAACCGGAAGUGACGUUUCAUUGACCGGAAGUGGCGUGUUCAUCGCCAUAAGUUGGGGAAUAUUCAGCUCUCCUAUACCUGAGGGCGCCAGUUGCUGACUUUUGACGGUGAAGAUGACAGAUUCCGAGUCUUUGGAAGGGAGCCCAAAAAGGUCAUGGAAAGAAACAGAACGGAUAAUUCCAAUUAAUCCCGAUGAUAUUGUACGGGAAAUGGAAACCUUAUGUUCUCGCAAAGUACAGAUGCCAUCUGCCAAAUUAUUGAUCUUUCAAUUAGGUUUGGUCAAGGACCAAGAAAAGAUUAAUAGGAUUGUUACAGAACAAUGUCAGAUUGCACA